rnacentral:rRNA from 1 species
UACGAAGGGGGCUAGCGUUGCUCGGAAUCACUGGGCGUAAAGGGUGCGUAGGCGGGUCUUUAAGUCAGGGGUGAAAUCUGGAGCUCAACUCCAGAACUGCCUUUGAUACUGAAGAUCUUGAGUUCGGGAGAGGUGAGUGGAACUGCGAGUGUAGAGGUGAAAUUCGUAGAUAUUCGCAAGAACACCAGUGGCGAAGGCGGCUCACUGGCCCGAUACUGACGCUGAGGCACGAAAGCGUGGGGAGCAAACAGGG